rnacentral:rRNA from 1 species
GUGCCAGCAGCCGCGGUAAUACGUAGGGUGCGAGCGUUGUCGUAGAAUUACUGGGCGUAAAGAGCUCGUAGGUGGUCUGUCGCGUCAUUUGUGAAAGCCCGGUGCUUAACUCCGGGUUGGCAGGCGAUACGGGCAUGACUGGAGUACUGUAGGGGAGACUGGAAUUCCUGGUGUAGCGGUGAAAUGCGCAGAUAUCAGGAGGAACACCGGUGGCGAAGGCGGGUCUCUGGGCAGUAACUGACGCUGAGGAGCGAAAGCAUGGGUAGCGAACAGGAUUAGAUACCCUGGUAGUCC